CUGCGAAUAUUCUCGCUGUUCUGAUUUUGUAAUAAUCAGGGCAGGCUAACCAUUCGCUAUAUUAAAAAAACCAUGCAUGUGUCCCCAGACCUAGUGCUUCUUUCCCUAAGUCUGGUUUUAUAAAUGCUGGUGAUAAAA